GGUAACAAAAACUGCAGAGGAGUUCUUUGUGCAGUUUCUGUGCUGAGGAAAAGUUUGAACAGUAUCAUAAGAGAACUCGAACACCCCCGCAGCCUUCCAUUCCCACUAUCAUCUGGAAUAAAUCUAUUCCUACCUUAAAGGAGAUGACGCCAAGAUAAGCACACCCUGAUUGCGGCUGUGGAGAACAAGUAACCAUUUUGUACAAAAGCCAGAACUUGACAAAAAUGGAAACAGUCGUCGUACUAGGAUGAUGAAAUUAUGCACCGUUUUCCCUUGAAUUUUCCUUUUCCCUAAUGUUGGGUGCUUUUCCUCAUUAAAAAGGAGAAAUGCCAGAUCUACUUAUCAAAGUGCCAGAAAAGUUGGCUGGGGCCUGUAUAGUCUUCAUUUGCAACUGUUUAUGAGUUUUAAUGAUCAAGUCCCUGAGCCUUAUUAUUGUUUCUUUUUAGGAGGAAGCAAAGGGAAAUUCUUAGACAAGAGAAGCCUAUACUGCAGAACUCAAAGUGGAGCUCAUAAGAAGGAUUUCAAUACCAGGAACAAUUUCCUAAGAGCACAGAAAUGCCUCUAAGUGAUCUGGUAAUUCAUAAUUUUCUCAAUGAUAAUGAAAUCGGUGUAUAAAGAGACAGAGAGAGGCAGGCUAUUAACGAUGUGAUGCCUGCUGACUGUGCAGACAAUUGCAGUGACAAAUCCUGCUUCUAAGGAUCAAGCCCAGUGAUCUGGUUUGGUGCCACUGGCUGAUAUUUAGAUUUCUAACUCACUAGGCCCAUGUUCUCUUAACCUACUCUGUUAACUGAGGUGAAUGAGGUCCCUUCUAGAGAACCCUAAG
rnacentral:lncRNA from 1 species